CCCUUAGAUGUUCGGGGCCGCACGCGCGCUACACUGAAGUAAUCAACGUGUGUCUUCCCUGGCCCGAAAGGGUCGGGUAACCCGUUGAACCUCCUUCGUGCUAGGGAUUGGGGCUUGUAAUUCUUCCCCAUGAACGAGGAAUUCCCAGUAAGCGCGAGUCAUAAGCUCGCGUUGAUUACGUCCCUGCCCUUUGUACACACCGCCCGUCGCUACUACCGAUUGGAUGGUUUAGUGAGAUCCUCGGAUUGGUCCUGGCCUGGCUGGCAACAGCCGAGCCAGCGUGCCGAGAAGACGAUCGAACUUGAUCAUCUAGAGGAAGUAAAAGUCGUAACA
rnacentral:rRNA from 1 species